GUUAGCAUUCGGUUUUUCAGGAGUACGUUGAUGAAGUUUGCGCCUGAAUGGGAAGAAUAAUUUCUCACAUCCAAUGUGUGAUGGCUGCUAUAGUUAUGAGACAAGUUCUUAAACAUGCCGUAAAAGAAGGGAAUGCAUCAACGACCUUUUAGCAUGAAUAGUUGGUCUCCCUGAGGAUUAGGAUUGAUCAUAGUAGAGAAGAUAUGAGAAGUUUGAUGUUCCAAUGGCCUACACUUAGAGCAACAAUGAUUGAUGUUGCAAUAGCUUGGUCUGCAAGUUUUUACCGCUACCAUUUGUUCUUGACUUCUUUCAUGGGUUUUGGUUAGUAUAUGCAGGGAUUUGUUCUUUGGUUGGUUUACAAGAGGGAACUUUACUAUGAAAAAGGUAAGAAAUAUGGGCAAUCACCGACUCUUGAUAUCUAUCAAAUUCGUUUUCCUUAUCAUUCAUUGUGGUUUUGUUUUCUUUUCUUGUGUUGUAUUGAGGGCACUAAAUCUUUUAAAGGUAAGAAAUCGAGUUUAGAUUUGACAAUACUUGUCUAUUUUUUAUUUCUAUUAGAAUUCAAUCAUCACUCUGAUUUUGGUUCUACUUUCUUUGUUCGUCAAGGAAAACAUGAAUGCAGAUGUAUGGAUCUUGAACUUAGCUAACAAAUGUGUAUUUUCUAACAGGGAAGAAGCUUGGGAAAAAAAAGAACAAGAGAAGAUCAUGAUCAGCUAAAAUUGAGUAAUAUUGAUUUUUUUUAAUGAAUUAUGUUACUAUUUUGCAUCGUCUCUCCAUUUGAAUCUUUUUCAGGAUUGUGAAGUAGAGCAUGAACACGAGUAUUGGAAAUAUGUAGAGGAAGGAUAAACCUGAGAGAGACACUACUUUGCCAACCGAGAUAUGCCAGAAACUUGAAGACGAUUUGAGCUAGUGAUAUCAAUUAGAGGACCAGAUGGUCCAGAUUCAUCCAAUCAUUGAUAAAGAGCCCGUACCAACCUGAUAAACGAAGAUACAUCAAAACACGAAGAGUACCUGAUCAGCCUCUUCCACAUCUAGUUUAAACUGCAUACAUGCAUACAUGCAUACAUGCAUACAUUCAUAUAUGCAUACACAUGCAUAUAUCAUACAUUCAUGCAUAUAUUUGCUUUCUUGAUUUUUUUAUUAGAUCAUUGCUUGCUUCUUUAGUACAUUUGUUAACAACUUGUUCUUGUUUGUUUCUUGUGCUUAUCUCAGUUCGUAACGUGCUUGCUUGUUUCUUGCACUGAUUGCUUACAUGUUUAGCUUGUUCAAUUAAUUCCUUCUUUGUUUCAUUGAUUAUUUGAUCGUUGCUUGACUUGUUUGUUUGUUUCUUCUUGGUUCCUUGAUUUACUUUACUUCAUUGGGCAGCCUUCUUCUUGGAUACUCGCUUACUUAAUUGUUUCAAUCAUUUUCUUUACACAUUCGUUUGCUUGUUUCCUUCCUUGAUCCUUUGGUUUUUCUUUUUCUUUUUUACUUUCGUCACUAUUUCUUACUUGAACUUCUCUACUUGUUUCGUUGUUUGCUUACGAUUUUCAUUUGGUUUCUCGCUUUCUUUUGCUUUCUUUACUUCUUCCAUAGUUCCAUUGCUUGCUUAGACGUAAUUGUUUAAGAAAACAUCUCCCCAACAUCCUCCUUGUUCUUGCAAAUUCCAUUACUUAAUUCCGUUUAUGCGUAUCUCUUAAAAUAUCUACAACUCUAUAGCGAAAUUUUAUAAUCCA
rnacentral:misc_RNA from 1 species